CAUCAAAUGUGCCCUAAGACUAGGUCUUCCAAGCAAACGUCUAAGUGCUAACAUGAGUGUGCGCUUCAGGCU